AACGAACGCUGGCGGCAGGCUUAACACAUGCAAGUCGAACGCCCCGCAAGGGGAGUGGCAGACGGGUGAGUAACGCGUGGGAACGUACCUUUCAGUUCGGAAUAACUCAGGGGAAACUUGUGCUAAUACCGGAUACGCCCGCAAGGGGAAAGAUUUAUCGCUGAAAGAUCGGCCCGCGUUGGAUUAGCUAGUUGGUGGGGUAAAGGCCUACCAAGGCGACGAUCCAUAGCUGGUCUGAGAGGAUGAUCAGCCACACUGGGACUGAGACACGGCCCAGACUCCUACGGGAGGCAGCAGUGGGGAAUAUUGGACAAUGGGCGCAAGCCUGAUCCAGCCAUGCCGCGUGUGUGAUGAAGGCCUUAGGGUUGUAAAGCACUUUCACCGAUGAAGAUAAUGACGGUAGUCGGAGAAGAAGCCCCGGCUAACUUCGUG
rnacentral:rRNA from 1 species